AGACUGUGUCACGACUAACCUCAUUUCAUCGUUACCCUCCAGGUUACACUUCAUCGUCUGGUACAACUACUCCAAAAAUGUUUUUACUCAUCGGAUGCCAUGGAGGUCCUCGAACUUCCGAUGAGAUCUCUGUUGCCUCACGCGUGGUGGAUGGAUGAUUGAAAUUCUGGAACACUUCUUCGCUUUUAUUCUCUUCUCCGCAAGAUGGACGGAGGUUUGCUGUACACGCGUGUGCAAAGCUGACUGUAAGCCAGUGGAUGUCGGUUCCUGUUUCCAUGGAGUUGACCACGUCCAUAUAGAGUCGAUAAGUACACUCGCAACUUUACCUCCGCCCAUCCGUAACGUGGUUUUUGUGCACAGGGCAACUUCACUCUUUACAUUUAAAUUCAGGCUAUUGUUUUCUAGUUCCUCAGUUUAACGAUAAAUCCUGGCAAAUCUUUAUUGUUCGUGAGCAUGAGUUCUUAUGUACAUGCAAUACGAUGUGUACAAUAGAAGCUUAGUUGUAAGCUACUUAAAUGCUUAUGAGAACAUUUUUUUGGGAAAGCAAGAGAUAAUGAAGAAGUUUCAAAACAAAAGCUUAGAGAAUUUCAGCUCCCAAGGGGAAUGAAGAGAAUUAUGAGUCGAGAUGCGUAAUAAUAAUUCGAUUAAAUCAAUCAGAUAUA